UAUAGCUCAGCCUGGUAGAGCGCUUGCUUUGGGAGCAAGAUGUCGGAGGUUCGAAUCCUCUUGUC
rnacentral:tRNA from 1 species